UGCUGCUACGGUUUUGCAGAUAUUACACAUUUAAUUCAUAGCGAAGACGUCACCCAGCCCACGUCACUGUAUUUUGUUGCGAAUUUCAAGCUCCUGGAAUGCUCCUGAUGCAGGACGAAUACAAGGUCAUUAUAGAUCUCCCAGGCAUAUGCAGUCCUCCUGCAGUAUGCCACAUAAUGCCCAAGAGAAUCCUGGCUCCAGACUGGAGGGAAAUUCAAGCAAGGCAACUUCCUUGCAACUGCUACCAAGAGCCUUGCCUGUAUUGUUGUCCUGUGUUUUGAAUGAAGACGGAC